rnacentral:siRNA from 1 species
UGGAUGCUCCUCGCUUAUUAUC